rnacentral:rRNA from 1 species
AGCAUGUGGUUUAAUUCGAAGCAACGCGAAGAACCUUACCAGGGCUUGACAUGCCGCUGACCGGUGCAGAGAUGCAUCUUAUCCUUCGGGGUACAGCGGACACAGGUGGUGCAUGGUUGUCGUCAGCUCGUGUCGUGAGAUGUUGGGUUAAGUCCCGCAACGAGCGCAACCCCUAUUGUUAGUUGCCAUCAUUCAGUUGGGCACUCUAGCGAGACUGCCGGUAAUAAACCGGAGGAAGUGGGGAUGACGUCAAAUCAUCAUGCCCCUUAUGACCUGGGCUACACACGUGCUACAAUGGUUGGUACAACGAGUUGCGAGUCGGUGACGGCGAGCUAAUCUCUUAAAGCCAAUCUCAGUUCGGAUUGUAGGCUGCAACUCGCCUACAUGAAGUCGGAAUCGCUAGUAAUCGCGGAUCAGCACGCCGCGGUGAAUACGUUCCCGGGCCUU